rnacentral:rRNA from 1 species
UACGAAGGGGGCUAGCGUUGCUCGGAAUCACUGGGCGUAAAGCGCACGUAGGCGGAUCGUUAAGUCGGGGGUGAAAUCCUGGAGCUCAACUCCAGAACUGCCUUCGAUACUGGCGAUCUUGGAGUCCGGGAGAGGUGAGUGGAACUCCGAGUGUAGAGGUGAAAUUCGUAGGUAUUCGGAAGAACACCAGUGGCGAAGGCGGCUCACUGGCCCGGUACUGACGCUGAGGUGCGAAAGCGUGGGGAGCAAACAGG